rnacentral:rRNA from 1 species
AGUGAACGCUGGCGGUAGGCCUAACACAUGCAAGUCGAACGGCAGCACAGUAAGAGCUUGCUCUUACGGGUGGCGAGUGGCGGACGGGUGAGGAAUACAUCGGAAUCUACUUUUUCGUGGGGGAUAACGUAGGGAAACUUACGCUAAUACCGCAUACGACCUACGGGUGAAAGCAGGGGAUCUUCGGACCUUGCGCGAUUGAAUGAGCCGAUGUCGGAUUAGCUAGUUGGCGGGGUAAAGGCCCACCAAGGCGACGAUCCGUAGCCGGUCUGAGAGGAUGAUCAGCCACACUGGAACUGAGACACGGUCCAGACUCCUACGGGAGGCAGCAGUGGGGAAUAUUGGACAAUGGGCGCAAGCCUGAUCCAGCCAUACCGCGUGGGUGAAGAGGGCCUUCGGGUUGUAAAGCCCUUUUGUUGGGAAAGAAAAGCAGCAGGUUAAUACCCCGCUGUUCUGACGGUACCCAAAGAAUAAGCACCGGCUAACUUCGUG